CCUACGGGAGGCAGCAGUCGAGAAUCAUUCACAAUGGGGGAAACCCUGAUGGUGCGACGCCGCGUGGGGGAAUGAAGGUCUUCGGAUGGUAAACCCCUGUCAUGUGGGAGCAAAUUAAAAAGAUAGUACCACAAGAGGAAGAGACGGCUAACUCUGUGCCAGCAGCCGCGGUAAUACAGAGGUCUCAAGGGUUGUUCGGAAUCACUGGGGGUAAAGCGUGCGUAGGCUGUUUCGUAAGUCGUGUGUGAAAGGCGCGGGCUCAACCCGCGGACGGCACAUGAUACUGCGAGACUAGAGUAAUGGAGGGGGAACCGGAAUUCCCGGUGUAGCAGUGAAAUGCGUAGAUAUCGAGAGGAACACUCGUGGCGAAGGCGGGUUCCUGGACAUUAACUGACGCUGAGGCACGAAGGCCAGGGGAGCGAAAGGGAUUAGAUACCCCUGUAGUC
rnacentral:rRNA from 1 species